ACAAAGGCUCUUUUCAGAGCCACCUGUGCUCACAAAGGAGCGUGC
rfam:Canis lupus familiaris chromosome 14, whole genome shotgun sequence.